rnacentral:rRNA from 1 species
AAUUUUUACAAUGAAGAGUUUGAUCCUGGCUCAGGAUGAACGCUAGCGGCAGGCUUAACACAUGCAAGUCGAGGGGCAGCG